AUAAUGAUACUUCUCUACGGAGUGGCUGGAGAACCCAGCUGGGGUGAGAUUCCCAUGA
rnacentral:ncRNA from 1 species